GAUAAGAAUAAGAGGGUGUAAAAAGCCUCCAGGGUGAUUGCAGCAGUCCUGCUGAACUUUCUACACACCUCCCUUUUCCAAGUUCUUGCUUUCUAUAGCCACUUGCAACAUCUCGACGGCUCAGCCAUGCUUCUUGUGCUCCUUUCAGCACUAGGGAUGCAUUUAUUCCUGAGACAUGCUACAGCCCAGUUGGUGACCCAGCCUGAUGUCCACAUCACUGUCUCAGAAGGAAAUUCUCUGGAGCUGAGGUGCAACUAUUCCUAUGGUGCUUCAGUUUUUCUCUUCUGGUACGUCCAGUAUCCCAGCCAGGGCCUCCAGCUUCUUCUCAAGUAUAGUUCAGGAGACCCCCUGGUUCAAGGCCUCAAAGGCUUUGAGGCUGAAUUUAAGAGGAGCGACUCUUCUUUCCACUUGAGGAAACACUCUGUGCAUGUGAGUGACUCGGCUGCAUACUUCUGUGCCUUGAGUGUCACAGUGCCUGGGGCUACAGUAGCAGCUGAACAAAAACCAGCCACAGAGAGGACAUUCCACAAGCCCAAGGUCUCUCUGUGGUGUUUUGAACACUUGCUUUGUAAAGGGCAAUGA